AGUGAACGCUGGCGGUAUGCCUAACACAUGCAAGUCGAACGGCAGCACCGUAAGAGCUUGCUCUUACGGGUGUCGAGUGGCGGACGGGUGAGGUAUACAUCGGAAUCUACUUUUUCGUGGGUGAUAACGUAGGGAAACUUACGCUAAUACCGCAUACGACCUACGGGUGAAAGCAGGGGAUCUUCGGACCUUGUGCUAUUGAAUGAGCCUAUGUCGGAUUAGCUAGUUGGCGGGGUAAAGGCCCACCAAGGCGACGAUCCGUAGCUGGUCUGAGAGGAUGAUCAGACACACUGGAACUGAGACACGGUAGAGACUCCUAAGGGAGGCAGCAGUGGGGAAUAUUGGACGAUGGGCGAAAGGCUGAUCCAGCCAUACCGCGUGGGUGAAGAAGGCGUUAGGGUUGUAAAGCCAUUUUGUUGGGAAAGAAAAGCAGCAGGUUAAUACCGCGCUGUAAUGACGGUACCGAAAGAAUAAGCACCGGCUAACUUCGUG
rnacentral:rRNA from 1 species